GUACUCACUUAGGCAGCAUAUAUACUAAAAUUAGAACAAUACAGAGAAAAAAAGCAUGGCCCCUGUUCAAGGAUGACAUGAAAAUUUGUGUAGCAUUCCAUAUUUUU